CCUCACCUGGUUUAGCCAGCCAGUUGAAGCCAUUUCCUGGGGUGUGGCAACUGUUGCAUGCUGACAGCUCCUAGGACAGCGGUUCUCAACCUGUGGGUCCCCAGAUGUUGUUGGACUACAACUCCCAUCAUCCCUGAGCUCUGGCCUUGCUAGCUAGGGGUGAUGGGAGUUGUAGUUCAGCAACAUCUGGGGACCCACAGGUUGAGAAAGGCUGUCCUAGGAGUUGAGUGCAGGGUGAACAAACUACUCCAGAAGGAGCAUGAGGUGUCUCCCACCAGAGGUGGUACCCCUACCCUAACACCCCGCACAUGCCAGAAUACUUCAGAGACUGCAAGUGGGGCACAGUUGGGGGGGUAGGUAUAGGUAGGACUGGUCAAAUGUUCUUAUCAUUGUCUCCUAGAAGGAAUGUAAGAAACAUUUAAUUUCUGUUGUCUCCCACUCCUGGCAGACCUGAGUCAAUCUCUAAAGAAUUGUGAAACUAAUUCUUGAUGGCCAAGGGAAGUAAGGCCUGCUGAACUCAAAAGAGUUAUUUAAAAACAAAUGUGUAUAGGACCACAGCCUUAUAUUUGUUUUUUAUUGAAUGGUAUCCCUCCAUAUCCUUUAAAGUAUUUGUAGUAUGAAGAGGUGGCAGUUAUCCAUUCAACUGUGAUGUUACAAAGCUUGUAAAAUGUAGGUUGAAUGAGGUAACAGGUGGAUUUGUAGCUGGUUGACUGACCGAACCCAAAGAGUACUCAUUAAUGGUUCCUCAACAUCCUCGGAAAAAGUGACCAGUAGGAUGCCGCAGGGUGCUGUCCUGGGCCCAUUGUUGUUCAACAUCUUUACAAAUGACUUGGAUUAAGGAAUUGAGGGGAUGCUCAUCAAAUUUGUAGAUGACACCAAACUGGGAGGGGUAGCUAAUGCCGCAGAAGCCAGAAUCAGAAUUCAAAAUGACCUUAGCAGAUUAGAGAACUGGGCCCAGGCUAACAAAAUGAAUUUCAAUUGGAACAAAUGUAAGGUUCUACACUUAGGCAGGAAGAACCAGAUGCACAAAUAUAAGAUGGAGGAGACCAGGCUUAUUAGCAGUACAUGUGAAAAGUAUCUAGGGAUCUUAGCAGACUACAAGCUUAACAUGAGUCAACAGUGUGAUGUAGCAGCAAAAAAACCAAGCCUUGAGUGGUUGAAGGAACUGGAUAUGUUUAGCUUGGAAAAGAGGAGACACAGAGGAGAUUUGUGGAACAGUCUCCCUCAAGAGGUUAUGGACUCUCCUUCCUUGGAGGCUUUUAAGCAAAGGUUGGAUGGCCAUCUGUCAUGGAUGCUUUAGGUGAGAUUCCUGCAUUGCAGGGGGUUGGACUAGAUGACCCUUGGGGCACCUUCCAACUCUGUUAUUCUUUAUUACUCCUCAAGUGUAUGGGACUACUUGAUAGAAAAGGCAGAGACAUUUGGUGUUAAACUCUAUUUUUAUUUUAUAUUUUAUAAUUGCAUACAAAACUGUCUAUAAAUUUAAAUGGUUGUUUUUCAAAACUUGUCUUCUGUCCCCCAGUACAUGUUAUUUGUGGCAGCCCACCCACCUGUUUUGGCUGGCAAAUUGUCUUUGGGCGACAAUGCUAAGCUGGAACACUUUGCAUCUGAAACUGCACUUGAUUUGAGGCAAGGACUUCUCCCUCCACAGAAGCCUGGGCAGGUUUUAACUCCCCUCUCCUCCCCACUUUUUAUGCAUCCAAAACGGGUGUGGGUGUUGGUGUUGGUGUGUGCGUAGAAGGAGAGAGAUUGAGAGCUCUCUACUGGAAACCCUGCUCUAAUGUGAAUGUAUUCUGUACUACUCUAGCAGCAGCUAGAAUCACCAACCACAUGUAACAAGAUCCUGGUGAUGUCCUUUAAAUUUUAUUCAAAUAAACACCAUGUAACUUUUAA